GACGAACGCUGGCGGCGUGCUUAACACAUGCAAGUCGAGCGGUAAGGCCCUUUCGGGGGUACACGAGCGGCGAACGGGUGAGUAACACGUGGGUGACCUGCCCUUAGCUCUGGGAUAAGCCUGGGAAACUGGGUCUAAUACCGGAUAUGACUCCAUGACGCAUGUUGUGGGGUGGAAAGCCUUGUGCGGCUAGGGAUGGGCCCGCGGCCUAUCAGCUUGUUGGUGGGGUGAUGGCCACCAAGGCGACGACGGGUAGCCGGCCUGAGAGGGCGACCGGCCACACUGGGAC
rnacentral:rRNA from 1 species